rnacentral:tRNA from 1 species
UCCCUGGUGGCUCAGAUGGUAAAGAAUCUGCCUGCAAUGCAGGAGACCGGGGUUCAAUCCCUUGAUUGGGAA